UUGCCACAAACCAACAGACUAUUAAAAUAUUGGGUUAAAUGGUUAGUUCGUCACCGAAGUAGAGCUAAACUUGUAAGUGGGUAAUUGAACUGAAAAAACUUUCAAUUAGGUAACUAAACACCAUUUAACUUUUAAUUAGAUAACUAUACGUAAACAUAGCUUUCAUGACCGUUAAUGUCUCUUUACUUUUAAUAGCACGCCGUUAAGUACUGCCAUAUCAUCAUUACGUAAGUGAAUAACCCGGAUAAAAACUUGACCCAUUUACAUAUACCAUCACUGCUAGAGACGAAAUCAGAGUAUUAUUGUGCGAUUAUCAACAUAGCAUAAAGUGAAGCGAUCGCGAAGAAAUAUGCCUACACCUAGUCUCAAACACUGUGAUAUGAGGUCUGGUAGUACUCUUCCUGCAUCAACUGCACCAGAUGUUAUAGUGAAAAGAAAAGCUAAGGGGUGCAACCAACUUGGAAGCUCACAGUCACAGUCACAUGGACUUGUCACACAAGCAAAGACAAAGACUGGGAACUCUCCAGUGAUAAGGAAUAAAGCUGCUAAAUCUAAGAUUCCAGUGAAGCCUUUCUCAGCACCAAGAAAAAAGAUUUAGUCGUGGAUCAAGUAUCUUUUGCUAAUAUUCUGAUUAUGCCGCCAUACUUAUAUUUUGGUUUCAUGUGUUGGCUUUAAGACUAGUUAUAUACCUUUUGUUUUAUGUACUCAAGAUUGCUGGUAUUAAGAUUUAUUCUUAUAUUUUGUUGUUGCUAUCAAAGACCACUACUGACAUUUUUAUUGGAUUGAAUGAAGUACCUAUUUUCUAUUCGAUUGUUA